rnacentral:ribozyme from 11 species
UCUAACAGUUUUUUUUUUUUUUUUUUUUUUUAAUUUUCUCACCAGCUUUUGUUAUUAGU